UACGUAGGGUGCAAGCGUUAAUCGGAAUUACUGGGCGUAAAGCGUGCGCAGGCGGUUGUGCAAGACCGAUGUGAAAUCCCCGGGCUUAACCUGGGAAUGGCAUUUGGGACUGCAAGGCUCGAGUGCGGCAGAGGAGACUGGAAUUCCUGGUGUAGCAGUGAAAUGCGCAGAUAUCAGGAGGAACACCGAUGGCGAAGGCAGGUCUCUGGGCCAUAACUGACGCUGAGAAGCGAAAGCAUGGGGAGCGAACAGG
rnacentral:rRNA from 1 species